AUGUUGAUAUUGGAGUGGUGCUGGAGAUGAGGAAGUUGAAAAAUUGUUAUUUUAAAAUAUUAUUUCCCUUUAAUACUUGGAAUGAGGGUUGCUUUGAAAUGUGUGUCCCGAACAGCAUUAUUGGACACUUCUCUUGACGGGAAGGGUCAUAUAGGGCGGGAAGGGUCAUAUAGCCUAGUAACUUUUGUUGUGAUAUCUAGGGAUGAAACGGUUACCGGACAAAUUUUAAUUAUCAUUGAAACCGUGUUUGAUUACCACGGUUUGAAAAACUCACGAACAUGCAAAAGUAAAUUGCUGCGAAAGGGGGCAACACUUCAAAUCUCUCGAGUCAUCUUCGUGACCACAAACCACUACUUUAUAGCGAAUGCAAGGUAAGUUAUCUUUUAGCUCAAUGCAUGAUGUGUGGACUUUGGAAUGGGUGGAAAACGUCAUGGUUUGUCUGUCUAACUUGCUAAUAGCUUGUCAAUAAUGUAAACUCAAGCGUUCAGUGUUACCUACUCUUGUAAAAACACGAAGCGUUGUUCUGCUGCUGCUGUAUGUGUCCUGUGUGUCUGCAGACUCUAUUCGCUCAUUGCACACGAUAACACGUUUAUGUAGUUAAUCCACCCAACCAACAUAUUUUGUUCAUUUAAAAUCCGGCAGUCCUCGACUUGGUUGUAAAAGUGAUCCAACAGGAGAAACACUAUAGACUCCUGUAUUUAUGUCAAUUGUUGGGCUCAUUUUAAAUUACUAUCACUGUCUACUUAAGACUCAUUUGUAUUUAUGUAAAUUGUGCAUGGAGCCAUUGCAUAUACUCGAAUGCAACACAGAAGUGAGUGAAUAAUAAUUAUAAUGUAACAACACCAAUAAUAAUGAUGAUAAUGAUAAUACAUGUGUUAUUCCCUUGUUUACAGAGUGGGCGUGCUACCGACAAACCCAGUGAUGCUACUGGUCCCUCAUCUACAGUGGUGACACAGGCACCGAAGCAAGAAUUUAAAAGGUAGGCUGCUUAUGCACCCACAUCAAAAAAAUGCUCAAGACUUCACUGCAGCCCUUUCAUAUUACAUUGCAAAGGACAUGAUGCCAUUUCAAAUGGUUGAGUCCUGGCUUUCUGAGGCUGAUGAAGGUUGCCGUGCCUCACUACAAAGUGCCAUUAUGAACAUUAUUUUCCAAGACUGAAAUCCCAAACCUGUACAACCAGGCUAAAGCUGAUGUUGGGAAAAGUUUGGCUCAAGGCACAUGGUUUGCUGCAACUACUGACCUCUGGACCAGUGAAAGCAGGGCUGGUCAACCCUACAUCAGCUUCACUAUCCAUCACCUCACCCCAGACUGGCAACAGGAAUCAAACUGCCUAGAAAACACAGUUCUUCCCAGAAUCACUCAGCUCACAACAUCAGAGUUUUUUGAGAAUAUGACCUGCAAGAAUGACCUGGUCUGCGUUACCACAGACAACGCAACAAACAUGAUCAAGGCUUUUGAAGAGUUCUUCGAUCUGUGGGUGCUCUUGGGUGCUUUGGCUAUCAUUUGAACCUGGCCAUCUCAAAGGCUCUGAAAAUUAAGUCAAGGCCUGCCAUCAUCUGGUCCAAGGAACUGAGAGAAAAGCAAGCUGCCCUCAACAU
rnacentral:lncRNA from 13 species